GGCGUGCUUAACACACGCAAGUCGAACGGAAAGGCCCUGCUUUUGUGGGGUGCUCGAGUGGCGAACGGGUGAGUAACACGUGAGUAACCUGCCCUUGACUUUGGGAUAACUUCAGGAAACUGGGGCUAAUACCGGAUAGGAGCUCCUGCUGCAUGGUGGGGGUUGGAAAGUUUCGGCGGUUGGGGAUGGACUCGCGGCUUAUCAGCUUGUUGGUGGGGUAGUGGCUUACCAAGGCUUUGACGGGUAGCCGGCCUGAGAGGGUGACCGGCCACAUUGGGACUGAGAUACGGCCCAGACUCCUACGGGAGGCAGCAGUGGGGAAUAUUGCACAAUGGGCGGAAGCCUGAUGCAGCAACGCCGCGUGCGGGAUGACGGCCUUCGGGUUGUAAACCGCUUUCGCCUGUGACGAAGCGUGAGUGACGGUAAUGGGUAAAGAAGCACCGGCUAACUACGUGCCAGCAGCCGCGGUGAUACGUAGGGUGCGAGCGUUGUCCGGAUUUAUUGGGCGUAAAGGGCUCGUAGGUGGUUGAUCGCGUCGGAAGUGUAAUCUUGGGGCUUAACCCUGAGCGUGCUUUCGAUACGGGUUGACUUGAGGAAGGUAGGGGAGAAUGGAAUUCCUGGUGGAGCGGUGGAAUGCGCAGAUAUCAGGAGGAACACCAGUGGCGAAGGCGGUUCUCUGGGCCUUUCCUGACGCUGAGGAGCGAAAGCGUGGGGAGCGAACAGGCUUAGAUACCCUGGUAGUCCACGCUGUAAACGGUGGGUACUAGGUGUGGGGUCCAUUCCACGGGUUCCGUGCCGUAGCUAACGCUUUAAGUACCCCGCCUGGGGAGUACGGCCGCAAGGCUAAAACUCAAAGGAAUUGACGGGGCCCCGCACAAGCGGCGGAGCAUGCGGAUUAAUUCGAUGCAACGCGUAGAACCUUACCUGGGUUUGACAUGGAUCGGGAGUGCCCAGAGAUGGGUGUGCCUCUUUUGGGGUCGGUUCACAGGUGGUGCAUGGCUGUCGUCAGCUCGUGUCGUGAGAUGUUGGGUUAAGUCCCGCAACGAGCGCAACCCUUGUUCACUGUUGCCAGCACGUUAUGGUGGGGACUCAGUGGAGACCGCCGGGGUCAACUCGGAGGAAGGUGGGGAUGACGUCAAGUCAUCAUGCCCCUUAUGUCCAGGGCUUCACGCAUGCUACAAUGGCUGGUACAGAGAGUGGCGAGCCUGUGAGGGUGAGCGAAUCUCGGAAAGCCGGUCUCAGUUCGGAUUGGGGUCUGCAACUCGACCUCAUGAAGUCGGAGUCGCUAGUAAUCGCAGAUCAGCAACGCUGCGGUGAAUACGUUCCCGGGGCUUGUACACACCGCCCGUCAAGUCAUGAAAGUUGGUAACACCCGAAGCCGGUGGCCUAACCGUUGUGGGGGAGCCGUCGAAGGUGGGACUGGUGAUUAGGACUAAGUCAUAA
rnacentral:rRNA from 1 species